ensembl:snRNA U6 U6 spliceosomal RNA
GGGCUGCCUUUGGCACCACCUUUACCAGGGUUGGAGAGAUACAGAGAAAAUUAGCAUGAGCCCUGUUCGAAGAUGACAUGCAAAUUUGCAAAGUGUUUCAUAUUAAA